AUGGCCCAGAAAAAAACACUCAUAUAUCUCUGUCUCUUGCUUCAAUCCUGUGCCCAUUCCCUUCCUCCAGAUAAUUCUUGCUUAGUAUUUCUUCUCCCUUUUUUGAAUGCCACUACCACCAUUACCAAAUCUGGAGUAAGUGCCCUUUUAAUGGAGAUAUAGCUCCUAUAAUUUUCUUUAUAUAUUAUAUGCAAUAUGCAUAUCAAUUUACUCUCUAAUUUGCAUGAUUGUGCAUACAUGUGCAUACACACACAGACACACACACACAUAAACUAUGAUUUCCACAGGGAC
rnacentral:lncRNA from 1 species